UGCUUCCUCCAGUCCACCCCAACUUUGCGUCUUCUUUGGCGAGAAAGACAGCCAAUUCGGGCACGGCUUCCCGAGACCUCGUCACCAUCUUCUGCCGUUCCUCGUUCGCUACCAUUUUAUACGCUUUGUUCAAAUUUGGUAGCGGUUCUAUGCUGAGAAUCGUGGAUCGGAUCGUAUUGAAUUCCGAGGUCAGUCCCAUGAGGAACUGAUAGCACCUUUCCGCUUCUCUCUGUGCCGCAAUAGUGGUGCUCGCCCCGCAACUACAGCCCGGAUGCUCCAGGUCGUCCCAUAAAUUCUUGGCGUCCACUGCGUAAGCCACCGUGGAUUGAAGGCUUCCCUCCAUGGUGUUAAAGAGCCACGCCAGAACUGUGGAGUUGCAUCUUUCCCACCGUUCUCUGAGGGGUUCUUCAUCUCCCGGUUUCUCGAGAGAGCCAUCGAUGAAGGCAAGCUUGUUUCUUGCCCGAAGCGCAAUGAUCAUGGCCCGAGACCAUGUCAGGUAAUUAUCUCCGUUGAGGGUGCAUGCAAUUACUUGAGCCCCUAUACUGUCUGAUGAAGCUAGCCUGCCCUGCUGUUGCCCUGUCUUGAGCUCUUCUCUUCAUCACUGAUGUCUGACAUUUUGCAAUCGAAAAAAUUCAAUCGAUUUGCUGCUCUGAUACCAUGUGAAUAAUGGAGCAAUUCAACUCAAUUUCCAUUGAAUAAUUCAGCACAGUAAAUAGGCUGUGCGAUUGUACAAAGGGGGAAAGAGAAAUUAAUGGUAUAUCUACACUACCGGAAAUAAUACAAAGAUUCUUAAUAUACAUUCUAUCUUUAAUAUUCCUUCUAUCUUUAAUAGACGAGGAGAAAAAACAAAUCACGGAAGAGGCUCUCAUUGAUCUCUCCAAUUUCUCCUCUGAAUAUAUUUUUCCCCGUUUCUGGUGUGCGGCGUCUGCCAUAGAAGCCAUUUGGGUCUUCCAUCUUUGCCAGGAAUCAAACGACAGGAAGAGGAGCUGAGGGAGAUGAACAUACACACACCAAGUCACCAAUGGGUACAUGCAAAGUAAUUUUUCCAUUCUUUUUUUUUUUCCUGUAAUCUUUUACUAUUCUUUUUCUGGAGAUCCUGAUUCUCAACUAAAGGAGAUAGGCUUGUUAUCGUUCAGAAAAGUGUGAAUUUUAUGGGGAAGGAAUAGAUGGGAUUGAAGUUUUAGCUAUGGUCAGGGAAGAUCUUUGUGCUCGUGACUCCCCCCCAAGAAAAAAGAAAAAAAAAAAAAGAGUGCAUCGAAGAGCAUGCCAUUCCUCUGGCGCCGGCAGCCGCCCCUUGGCAACAACCUGGCCCGACAAAGCCGUGGGUUGCAGUUUUUAUUGUUUGUUUGUUUAUUUAUUUUUAUUUUUUUAAGAAAGUGCCACGUAGGCAAUAAAUGGCCAACUCCGAUAAUUUUCACGGCGUUAAGUCCAAA